rnacentral:rRNA from 1 species
GAUGAACGCUGGCGGCGCGCCUAACACACGCAAGUCGAACGAUUAAAGCACCUUCGGGUGUGUAUAAAGUGGCGAACGGCUGAGUAACACGUGGGCAACCUGCCCCUUUCAUUGGGAUAGCCACGGGAAACCGUGGAUAAUACCGAAUACUUCGAGACUUCCGCAUGGAAGACUCGAGAAAGCUCCGGCGGAGAGGGAUGGGCCCGCGGCCUGUUAGCUUGUUGGUGGGGUAACGGCCUACCAAGGCAAUGAUGGGUAGCUGGGUUGAGAGACCGACCAGCCAGAUUGGGACUGAGACACGGCCCAGACUCCUACGGGAGGCAGCAGUGGGGAAUCUUGCACAAUGGGCGAAAGCCUGAUGCAGCGACGCCGCGUGCGGGAUGAAGGCCUUCGGGUUGUAAACCGCUUUCAGCAGGGACGAGGCGAAAGUGACGGUACCUGCAGAAGAAGCCCCGGCUAACUACGUG